rnacentral:tRNA from 1 species
GCGCACACUGCUCGACGCGCACGUGCGGGCCUGCGGCGACGGCAGCGGCGUCGACCCGGUCGCGCCGCCGUUCGAAUCGGCCGUGUACGCGC